rnacentral:rRNA from 1 species
CCUACGGGUGGCAGCAGUAGGGAAUAUUGCUCAAUGGGGGAAACUCUGAAGCAGCAACGCCGCGUGGAGGAUGAAGGUUUUCGGAUUGUAAACUCCUUUUGUUAGAGAAGAUAAUGACGGUAUCUAACGAAUAAGCACCGGCUAAUUCCGUGCCAGCAGCCGCGGUAAUACGGAGGGUGCAAGCGUUAUUCGGAACCACUGGGCGUAAAGAGCGCGUAGGCGGGAUAGCAAGUCAGAGGUGAAAUCCUAUGGCUUAACCGUAGAACUGCAUUUGAAACUGUUAUUCUAGAGUAUGGGAGAGGUAGGUGGAAUGCUUGGUGUAGGGGUAAAAUGCGUAGAGAUCAAGAGGAAUACUCAUUGCGAAGGCAGCCUACUAGACCAUAACUGACGCUGAUGCGCGAAAGCGUGGGGAGCAAACAGGAUUAGAUACCCCGGUAGUC